GGGCUAUUAGCUCAAUUGGUAGAGCAGGCGCCUCUUAAGCGCAAGGUUACAGGUUCGAUUCCUGUAUAGCCCA
rnacentral:tRNA from 1 species